UAGAUUGAAGUUUGAGUUGACAAUGUCAC
rnacentral:sRNA from 1 species